GAUGAACGCUGGCGGCGUGCCUAAUACAUGCAAGUCGAGCGAACGGACGAGGAGCUUGCUCCUCUGAUGUUAGCGGCGGACGGGUGAGUAACACGUGGAUAACCUACCUAUAAGACUGGGAUAACUUCGGGAAACCGGAGCUAAUACCGGAUAAUAUUUUGAACCGCAUGGUUCAAUAGUGAAAGACGGUUUUGCUGUCACUUAUAGAUGGAUCCGCGCUGCAUUAGCUAGUUGGUAAGGUAACGGCUUACCAAGGCGACGAUGCAUAGCCGACCUGAGAGGGUGAUCGGCCACACUGGAACUGAGACACGGUCCAGACUCCUACGGGAGGCAGCAGUAGGGAAUCUUCCGCAAUGGGCGAAAGCCUGACGGAGCAACGCCGCGUGAGUGAUGAAGGUCUUCGGAUCGUAAAACUCUGUUAUUAGGGAAGAACAAAUGUGUAAGUAACUGUGCACAUCUUGACGGUACCUAAUCAGAAAGCCACGGCUAACUACGUG
rnacentral:rRNA from 1 species